rnacentral:tRNA from 1 species
GUUACUUUGGCAGAUUAGUGCAAUAAAUUUAGAUUUUAUAUAUAUAUACUAGUAUAAGUAAUA